UAAUCAUAACCAUGAGUCAUUUUGGAAUUUGAAUCUCUGAAAGUUGAUGGGAAUUUGGGUCCUCAUGGAUUUGAACCAACCUAAAUUUUGGAUACAUCCAGAACCUGUUCAUGCUUCAGUAACAACCAACUAAUUAAAACUUGAAAAGCAUUUUUUAUCUGAGCUCAAUUUAUCUGCCCCAGCUGCAGCAGCUUGCCCUGCAUGAGUUCCUUACCUGGAUCCAUAAGCUGGGGCUGGAGAAGGUGAUUAACAGCCUGUAUUAAGAUGUCCACGCUACAGGAGCCCGAGCUGGGCUGUGGCACCAGCACUGCCCCCCAGCACCCAGCUCCCGUCUGGGGCAAGCCCUGCCCAGCUGAGGGUCAGGGUUGGGUUGGGGUCUCACCGUAGAGCCUGUGGAUGCCCCACACCUCGUCCUGGGAAAUGCUCUUCCUGCCCGUCAGCGUGGCGUUGAUGUGCAUCAGCGCGCGGGGGUUCAGCGAGUGCAUCAGGCCCAGGGCGUGCCCGAUCUCGUGGGCGGCCACGUGCACCAGAUUCUGCACAGAUGUCUCAGAUUUUAACCAGAGAGCUGCUCUGGAGCACCAAGGUUUGAGCACUGAAGCCUCUUGGCAGCAUCCAACACAUGGAUUUUAACAGAAGGAUGAGGCUGAACUAUCCAACAAUUUCACUGAUUCCAGCAAGAAAUGGAAUUUCCACCACUCAGCUGGAGCUCAGGGCAGAGGAACAACAACUUCCAACCCCACAACAAAAUUCCUACUGCCGCUUUCUCAGCUCAGGCCCAUCCCAGGCUGAACUCCAAACCCAGCUCCUCUGUGCUCACCUUUCU